rnacentral:piRNA from 1 species
CUUCCUCACUGUAAACCUGAAGAC